CACACGUGCACUUCAAAGCACCAUCACAGCAAAUAUUCCAGGUGAGAGUCUGGAAUUGAUCACAGCAACCAUUCCAGGUGAGGCUGGAACUGAUCACAGAGGCUGGAAUUUAUGACAACAACCACUCCAGGUGAGUCUGGAAUUGUCACCUCUGCUGACCACCCCUACAGACCAAACAUCAGCAUUUCCACCCCAAAAGCCCUGACAACACCACAAUGUGUCAGGAAACAUCAGCCACCGCUGAAUUCUGGCGACAUUUGCCCUGAAGAACACAAAGUACACAGAGAGCUCA